rnacentral:lncRNA from 1 species
GAUUUCAUAUACAUUGAGGGUGCUACCUAAAUAAUAUAAGGAGAGGUGACUUGUGAACUGACAAGUGUCUGAUGAGAGGGUUGCUUUAGCCUAAAAUUUGAGAUGAGAGCUGGCUGUGGAGCACAACAAUGCAGUCCAUCUUAUUUCAUCUCACAGUUCUUCCCCGACAGUUUCAAGGCAGCCUACAACUGAAAAAGCAGGCCAAACUAGAGAGGCUAAUGGUCUCAAUGUUACCCAUAGAACUUCAUGCCAAGGAAUCUCAGAUCUCUAGUCUAAGUCUGACACUUAGCCAUUAUGUCACCGUGGUGGUGGUGUUGCUAUAGCAACUGAUUUUGUUGCUCAGGAUGAAAAUUCUAUGCCAGCCCUUUGGCAGAAGGAUGUCAUAAUGUUAUGGUCAACCAACAAUUUUAAAGCAAGCCCUCUAGGAAAGAAAACACAUGUCCAGAAAGAAAGAGAGAGAGAGAGAGAGAGAGAAGAGAUAACACAUGUAUCUCACAAGGACCAAGAAAACACAUUUUUUUCCAGCGUAACUUUAUUUCAUCCCAUGGAACAGAGAGAGAAGUCCUUCUUUUCUCAUCUUCACAGGUGAGGAAGAUGAAUUGCAACACUCUUGCGGUUCUGUGCUUUCAUUUAUGAGGAGGAUUGUUUGCAUUAGUGUGGCAGAACAUCUGUGCAAGACUGGGUUGGCGGCUCCUUAGACUUCUGGAAAAUAAAAUCCAUGAUGUGGCAAUAGUUUUAUUAGAC